UAUCGUAGGCGGUUUGGUAAGUGUGUGGUGAAAUCCGUGGGCUCAACUCACGAAUUGCUGCGCAUACUACCAAACUAGAGAUUGCUAGAGGAUGCUGGAAUUCUCGGUGGAGCAGUGAAAUGCGUUGAUAUCGAGAAGAACACCAAGGGCGAAGGCAGGCAUCUGGAGCACAUCUGACGCUGAUGAACGAAAGCUAGGGGAGCGAAAG
rnacentral:rRNA from 1 species